UACGGGGGGGCAAGCGUUGUUCGGAAUUACUGGGCGUAAAGGGUUCGUAGGUGGCCAACUAAGUCAGACGUGAAAUCCCUCAGCUUAACUGGGGAACUGCGUCUGAUACUGGUUGGCUUGAGUGCAGGAGAGGAACGCGGAAUUCCAGGUGUAGCGGUGAAAUGCGUAGAUAUCGAGAGGAACACCAGAGGUGAAGACGGGUUGCUGGGCUGACACUGACGCUGAUGCGCGAAAGCCAGGGGAGCAAACGGG
rnacentral:rRNA from 1 species